rnacentral:rRNA from 1 species
AUACGGAGGAUCCAAGCGUUAUCCGGAUUUAUUGGGUUUAAAGGGUGCGCAGGCGGGAGAUUAAGUCGGCGGUGAAAUUUUGCAGCUCAACUGUAAAAGGGCCUUCGAAACUGGUUUCCUUGAGUGUAGAUGAAGUAGGCGGAAUUUGUGGGGUAGCGGUGAAAUGCAUAGAGAUCACGGGGAACUCCGAUUGCGCAGGCAGCUUACUAAACUACUACUGACGCUCAGGCACGAGGGCGUGGGGAUCAAACAGGAUUAGAUACCCUGGUAGUCCACGCAGUAAACGAUGAUUACUAGCUGUUUGCGAUACAAUGUAAGCGGCUGAGCGAAAGCGUUAAGUAAUCCACCUGGGGAGUACGUUCGCAAGAAUGAAACUCAAAUGAAUUGACGGGG